rnacentral:rRNA from 1 species
UACGAAGGGGGCUAGCGUUGCUCGGAAUCACUGGGCGUAAAGCGCACGUAGGCGGAUCGUUAAGUCAGGGGUGAAAUCCUGGAGCUCAACUCCAGAACUGCCUUUGAUACUGGCGACCUUGAGUUCGGGAGAGGUGAGUGGAACUGCGAGUGUAGAGGUGAAAUUCGUAGAUAUUCGCAAAGAACACCAGUGGCGAAGGCGCUCACUGGCCCGAUACUGACGCUGAGGUGCGAAAAGCCAGGGGAGCAAACGGGG